GAUGAACGCUGGCGGCGUGCCUAAUACAUGCAAGUCGAGCGAACGGACGAGAAGCUUGCUUUUCUGAUGUUAGCGGCAGACGGGUGAGUAACACGUGGAUAACCUACCUAUAAGACUGGGAUAACUUCGGGAAACCGGAGCUAAUACCGGAUAAUAUUUUGAACCGCAUGGUUCAAAAGUGAAAGACGGUCUUGCUGUCACUUAUAGAUGGAUCCGCGCUGCAUUAGCUAGUUGGUAAGGUAACGGCUUACCAAGGCAACGAUGCAUAGCCGACCUGAGAGGGUGAUCGGCCACACUGGAACUGAGACACGGUCCAGACUCCUACGGGAGGCAGCAGUAGGGAAUCUUCCGCAAAGGGCGAAAGCCUGACGGAGCAACGCCGCGUGAGUGAUGAAGGUCUUCGGAUCGUAAAACUCUGUUAUUAGGGAAGAACAUAUGUGUAAGUAACUGUGCACAUCUUGACGGUACCUAAUCAGAAAGCCACGGCUAACUACGUG
rnacentral:rRNA from 1 species